GAUGAACGCUAGCUACAGGCUUAACACAUGCAAGUCGCGGGGCAGCAUGUUACUGGCUUGCCAGUAAUGAUGGCGACCGGCGCACGGGUGAGUAUCGCGUAUCCAACCUUCCCAUAUCCACGGGAUAGCCUGCCGAAAGGCAGAUUAAUACCGUAUGUUGUCGCACGCUGGCAUCAAAAUGCGACGAAAGGCUUAGCGGAUAUGGAUGGGGAUGCGUCCGAUUAGCUUGACGGCGGGGUAACGGCCCACCGUGGCGACGAUCAGUAGCCGGACUGAGAGGUUGAACGGCCACAUUGGGACUGAGACACGGCCCAG
rnacentral:rRNA from 1 species